UCAGCGGAGGAAGGAAGCGGGAACCAAGCACAUGUGAACGAGGUAUCUGAGAGUCCCGAGAGUCAACUAGAUGAAAGCCAAGUGACUAUGACGCAAGAGUUCAGGAACACAGCGUCUGCAACGACAAAAUUCAAGCAUCCUGUACCAAUAAAAAGGCAAAAAAAAGUGUGUCACAAAAUGACCCAAUCCUAAGUGAAGCAAUGCAAUUAAUAAGGACUUCAGCACAAGCUGCCACUGCUACCCUUGCCAGCACUGCUUCAUCUGCAGCUGUUGCACCAGACCGAUAUCAAAUUUACGCAAAUUAAUUAGCGUCCAAAUUUCGUACUUACAAAGCUAUCAUGGCUGUUGAACACCAGAUAAACAACAUACAUAUUGUUUUCUGCUGAUGUAGGAGAGUUUGACUGGGAAAGAGGUUAUCUAACCGAUUCCAACUCCAGCCAAGCGUCUACACAGGCUUCAACGCCGCAACAUUCUCAUGAUUUUAGUCACCUUAUAAUUUUUAAAAAUCUGUAAUUUUCUGUUACUUUAAUAAUAAGGUCAGUCCCAACGAGACAAGUGGCUAGCCUAUCAUCGUUACAGUGAACAAUUAACUUUCAGAGAAACCAACGAAAAACUCAGCCACAGAACUAGGCGAAGCAUCAAAUGCGAUUGAAUCCAAUCAAAUAAAAGAAGCACCAGUAGCACAAGGUGGAGCGUCGGUUACACAUGUAUAUAAUUUAAGAGGAUUGCCGAACAAACAUUACUGCGACGAUGACGAAUUGAUUGCUGUUGACUUCUCGCCAGACGUGUCAGAGUAGAUACCAAGUCCAGAUCAACACAGACUUACCAGGAGUCCAUCAAGUUUUGGCGGAGACUCUGAUUAUAAAAAUAUUUUUUUCUAGCUUUUGAGAAUAUUAUAAGAACGCCUUCGACUGUUUCUAAUGUCUCCUCCGUAUUCAAACAAAUCGACUUCGUGGCAUCACCUUCAACCAUAUAUGAAGCUGCUAAGUUGACGGGCACACCUACAUCAUUAACAAACACAAAUACUACUGCGUCACCGGUUUCUGCCAAACCAUGCGAUAUUAAUAGGAGAAAAAAAAGAAAACGUUGUUUGAAUCCUAUUUUCAACAAAAGAUCGUGUUCUUCACAUAUUCUGGAGAAUGAUAUAGCCUUCCAUCGAAAAUGAAGAUUUCACAGACCUCGUUGAUUUGGACACAACUCUACAGCCUGAAAACGAUUCAGAUUCUAUAUUGACAGUCACUACAACUACUUUAGAUGAUGGUGAUGAUACCAUAACAGCUAUCUGCCAAAGUCCCGAUAUAAACUCAAGGCCUGAAACUUCUGCCGCAAGUGUAGACGAAGUCUCAUCAUCAUUUUCUACUAAUAAGCAGAAAUUGUUGGCAAGAAAACGGAUUCGGAGUGAACAAGAACAUCAAGAUGUAAAGAGUAAGAAAUUAAAGAACUCGGGAGAAAGCUAUAUGGGAUGCAGAUCUAAAAAAAUAUACGAAAAAAAAAGAUUACAGGAGGAUGUAAAUGCGCAAAAAAAUGUGAAGAAAAAUUUACAUUGAGCCAAAGAGAGGACAUUAUGCAGCAAUAUUAUAGAUUAGGAGAUCAUGAGCGGCAAUGGCAAUUUAUUGUUAGUCACACGACAGUUGAGAAGGUCAAAAGAAUCAAGUUAGAUCGAAAGAAAUAAAAUAUGUAGGACCUUUUUUGCAAGCACUUUGUGUAUUUCAAAUCAGACAAUUCAUA